GGAGGGGUGUCCGAGUGGUUUAAGGAGCCGGUCUUGAAAACCGGUGACACCGCAAGGUGCCGUGGGUUCGAAUCCCACCCCCUCCGCCA
rnacentral:tRNA from 1 species